UGCCAGUAGUCAUAUGCUUGUCUUAAAUAUUAACCCAUGCAUGUGCCAGUUCAGUAUUGAACAGCGAAACUGCGAAUGGCUCAUUAAAACAGUUAUAGUUUAUUUGAUAAUUAAAGAUUACAUGGAUAACCGAGCUAAUUGUUGGGCUAAUACAUGCUUAAAAUUCCGUGUCCUGCGACCGGAACGUAUUUAUUAGAUAUUAGACCAAUCGCAGCAAUGUGAUUGAGAUGAAUCAAAGUAACUGAUCGAAUCGAGGCUUGCUUCGAUAAAUCAUCUAAGUUUCUGCCCUAUCAGCUCUCGAUGGUAGUGUAUUGGACUACCAUGGCAGUCACGGGUAACGGAGAAUUAGGGUUCGAUUCCGGAGAAGGAGCCUGAGAAACGGCUACUACAACUACGGUUCGGCAGCAGGGAAGAAAAUUGGCCAAUCCUAAUUCAGGGAGCCAGUGACAAGAAAUAGCAAGCUGGGAAACCUAGUUUCUACGGCAUUGAAAUGAGAAAAGUGUAAAUCUCUUAGCGAGGAACAAUUGGAGGACAAGUCUGGU
rnacentral:rRNA from 1 species